CGUUAAGACGGCCGUCCGCCGUUGUGCGCACUGGCUGGUUUCAACUUCCUGUAGAGGACGCGCUCUGGCUUCAUCGCUGGACGCGGAGUCUACGUGGUUACUUUGAAAAAAUUAGAGUGUUCAAAGCGGGCUUACGCUUGAAUAUUUCAGCAUGGAAUAACACUAUAGGACUCCUGUCCUAUUUCGUUGGUCUCGGGACGGGAGUAAUGAUUAAGAGGAACAGUUGGGGGCAUUCGUAUUUCAUUGUCAGAGGUGAAAUUCUUGGAUUUAUGAAAGACGAACUUCUGCGAAAGCAUUUGCCAAGGAUGUUUUCAUUAAUCAAGAACGAAAGUUGGGGGCUCGAAGAUGAUUAGAUACCAUCCUAGUCUCAACCAUAAACGAUGCCGACUAGGGAUUGCAGGAUGUUAAUUGACGACUCCUGCAGCACCUUAUGAGAAAUCAAAGUUUUUGGGUUCCGGGGGGAGUAUGGUCGCAAGGCUGAAACUUAAAGGAAUUGACGGAAGGGCACCACCAGGCGUGGAGCCUGCGGCUUAAUUUGACUCAACA
rnacentral:rRNA from 1 species